AUGGAAGGACACGAGGCAGAGUUUUUCUUGUGGGUAGCUAGACAUAUGACUUCAUUGACCAAUCUGGUACUGAUUAGCAUUGAACAUAGUGCAGAUACAACCUCAAUGGGGGCGGAGAAUAGUUUGGGGGAAGUGGUGAACGUCAAGGAGAAUGGGAAUGAUCAAGACUUUCCUCUAGAAGUUUUGGUGUUGAAAGACUUUAAGUCAGGUAUAAGUGUAACAGUGCUGUGCGCAUGCUUUGUACACCUUCAAGAUUUGUCAAUUAUGAGUUGCCAUGAGCUCGUCCACUGGCCNNAAACAUUGUUCGAAGGAUUGGUAUCUCUGAGGAAGCUUUGGAUUCAGCAAUGCAAUAAUCUGACUGGAUAUGCACAAGUUUCUGCUGAGCCAUCAACAUCAUCGGAAACAAGUCAGCUCCUGCCACGUCUAGAGUCUCUCGGGAUAUACAGUUGCAAAAACUUGGUUGAGCUCUUCAACGUCCCUGCAUCUCUCAGGACAAUGAACAUUUCUUAUUGCAGUAAGCUUGAGUCCACAUCCGGCAGGAAGCAGCAGCAGGGACAGUCAGUACCAUCGAUUCAUCAAGGGUCAACAGCCAGUAUAGAAGCAUUAUCAUUAUGCGGCUGUCAUGGCUUAACAGGUGUCCUCUAUUUUCCCCCGUCCCUCAAGAGACUAAACAUUGUUAGCUGUCAUGGGUUGGCAUCUCUUGAAACCCACUCUCCCGAGUGCCCAUCGUUGGAGUACCUCGAGCUUUGGCACUGCAGGGCCCUGGAAUCCCUACCGGACGGGCCGCAAGUAUACUCAUCUCUCCAACAUCUUCGCAUUGAACACUGUUCUUCUCUGAAGACGCUCCCUGCAAGCCUGCAGCAACGGCUGGGCAGCCUCCAGGUGGAACGGAUAGAUGCCUGUUAUUAUGGAAAUAAGCCAAAGACAUGGAAGUGUGUCUGCAAAGCUUGA
rnacentral:rRNA from 1 species